ACUGCAGCUUCUACAGGCAGUAACUCUUAAAGCCCCCAAACUGGGAUAGUGCAUUUUAAUUUCCGUAUACUAACAAGGACACUAAAAAUCCUUGUGAUUAUUUUAAAGCAUAACACUAGCUGAACUUGUGAUUAAGUAUUCUCACAAACGUAUUAUCAAAAUGUGAAAUGUUUACUUAUCAAAUGAGGAAAUGAAUCAAGGUCAUUUGUGAUACAUUAUAGAAGCUAACGAGGACGUUUACUUGUGUAAAAUGCACCAGGAAAUAGUGACAACUGUAUGUUGUGCUAUGAGGAUGUAAGAGAUUUAUCUCAAAUGGCUUAGAAAUCAAAAUAUAGGUCAGUGCAGUGGCUCACACCUGUAAUCCCAACACUUUGGGAGGCCAAGGCAGGCGGAUCACAAGGUCAGUAGAUUGACACCAUCCUGGCCAACAUGGUGAAACCCCGUCUCUACUAAAAAUACAAAAAUUAGCUGGGUGUGGUGAUGUGCGCCUGUAAUCCCAGUUAC
rnacentral:lncRNA from 1 species